UACAGAGGUCUCGAGCGUUAAUCGGAAUUACUGGGCUUAAAGGGUGCGUAGGCGGCGCUGUAAGUGCUUUGUGAAAUCCCAUGGCUUAACCAUGGAAUGGCUCGGGAGACUGCAGCGCUUGAGGUCGGUAGGGGUGGCUGGAACUCUAGGUGGAGCGGUGAAAUGCGUAGAUAUCUAGAGGAACGCCAAAGGUGAAGACAGGCGACUGGACCGAUUCUGACGCUGAGGCACGAAAGCGUGGGUAGCAAACGGG
rnacentral:rRNA from 1 species